rnacentral:rRNA from 1 species
AUUGAACGCUGGCGGCAUGCCUUACACAUGCAAGUCGAACGGUAACGCGGGGCAACCUGGCGACGAGUGGCGAACGGGUGAGUAGUGCAUCGGAACGUGCCCAAUAGUGGGGGAUAGCCCGGCGAAAGCCGGAUUAAUACCGCAUACGACCUAUGGGUGAAAGCGGGGGAGUCGCAAGACCUCGCGCUAUUGGAGCGGCCGAUGUCAGAUUAGGUAGUUGGCGGGGUAAAGGCCCACCAAGCCUGCGAUCUGUAGCUGGUCUGAGAGGACGACCAGCCACACUGGGAC